rnacentral:rRNA from 1 species
UACGUAGGGUGCAAGCGUUAAUCGGAAUUACUGGGCGUAAAGCGUGCGCAGGCGGCUUUGCAAGACAGAUGUGAAAUCCCCCGGGCUUAACCUGGGAACUGCAUUUGUGACUGCAUCGCUGGAGUGCGGCAGAGGGGGAUGGAAUUCCGCGUGUAGCAGUGAAAUGCGUAGAUAUGCGGAGGAACACCGAUGGCGAAGGCAAUCCCCUGGACCUGUACUGACGCUCAUGCACGAAAGCGUGGGGAGCAAACAGG